GUGAGUCAUCGAAUCUUUGAACGCACAUUGCGCCUCCCAGUAUCCUGGGAGGCAUGCCUGUCCGAGCGUCGUUUCAACCCUCGAGCCCCCGUGGCCCGGUGUUGGGGAACCGCGAGCGAGAGCUCCCGCGGUCCCCGAAAUGCAGUGGCGGUCCCGCAGCGUCCCGGCCCUUUGCGUAGUAAUUAUCGCUCGCAUUGGCAGGCCCGCGGGUUACCAGCCUUGAAACCCCCUACAAAGACCGCUCCGGCGGCACGGUUGACCUCGGAUCAGGUAGGACUACCCGCUGAACUUAAGCAUAUC
rnacentral:misc_RNA from 1 species